rnacentral:rRNA from 1 species
AGCGAACGCUGGCGGCAGGCUUAACACAUGCAAGUCGAGCGGGUGUAGCAAUACAUCAGCGGCAGACGGGUGAGUAACGCGGGGGAACGUACCUCUUGGUUCGGAACAACCCAGGGAAACUUGGGCUAAUACCGGAUAAGCCCUUACGGGGCAAGAUUUAUCGCCGAAAGAUCGGCACGCGUCUGAUUAGCUAGUUGUAGAGGUAAUGGCUCACCAAGGCGACGACCAGUAGCUGGUCUGAGAGGAUGAUCAGCCACAUUGGGACUGAGACACGGCCCAAACUCCUACGGGAGGCAGCAGUGGGGAAUAUUGGACAAUGGGGGCAACCCUGAUCCAGCCAUGCCGCGUGAGUGAUGAAGGCCCUAGGGUUGUAAAGCUCUUUUGUGCGGGAAGAUAAUGACGGUACCGCAAGAAUAAGCCCCGGCUAACUUCGUGCCAGCCGCCGCAGUAAGAC